rnacentral:rRNA from 1 species
AGUGAACGCUGGCGGUAGGCCUAACACAUGCAAGUCGAACGGCAGCACAGUAAGAGCUUGCUCUUACGGGUGGCGAGUGGCGGACGGGUGAGGAAUACAUCGGAAUCUACUUUUUCGUGGGGGAUAACGUAGGGAAACUUACGCUAAUACCGCAUACGACCUACGGGUGAAAGCAGGGGACCUUCGGACCUUGCGCGAUUGAAUGAGCCGAUGUCGGAUUAGCUAGUUGGCGGGGUAAAGGCCCACCAAGGCGACGAUCCGUAGCUGGUCUGAGAGGAUGAUCAGCCACACAGGAACUGAGACACGGUCCAGACUCCUACGGGAGGCAGCAGUGGGGAAUAUUGGACAAUGGGCGCAAGCCUGAUCCAGCCAUACCGCGUGGGUGAAGAAGGCCUUCGGGUUGUAAAGCCCUUUUGUUGGGAAAGAAAAGCAGCAGGUUAAUACCCCGCUGUUCUGACGGUACCCAAAGAAUAAGCACCGGCUAACUUCGUG